CCUACGGGAGGCAGCAGUGGGGAAUAUUGCACAAUGGGCGGAAGCCUGAUGCAGCAACGCCGCGUGCGGGAUGACGGCCUUCGGGUUGUAAACCGCUUUCGCCUGUGACGAAGCGUGAGUGACGGUAAUGGGUAAAGAAGCACCGGCUAACUACGUGCCAGCAGCCGCGGUGAUACGUAGGGUGCGAGCGUUGUCCGGAUUUAUUGGGCGUAAAGGGCUCGUAGGUGGUUGAUCGCGUCGGAAGUGUAAUCUUGGGGCUUAACCCUGAGCGUGCUUUCGAUACGGGUUGACUUGAGGAAGGUAGGGGAGAAUGGAAUUCCUGGUGGAGCGGUGGAAUGCGCAGAUAUCAGGAGGAACACCAGUGGCGAAGGCGGUUCUCUGGGCCUUUCCUGACGCUGAGGAGCGAAAGCGUGGGGAGCGAACAGGCUUAGAUACCCUGGUAGUCCACGCUGUAAACGGUGGGUACUAGGUGUGGGGUCCAUUCCACGGGUUCCGUGCCGUAGCUAACGCUUUAAGUACCCGCCUGGGAGUACGGCCGCAAGGCUAAAACUCAAAUGAAUUGACGG
rnacentral:rRNA from 1 species